GACGAACGCUGGCGGCGGGCUUAACACAUGCAAGUCGAACGGGAAGGCCCUGCUUUUGUGGGGUGCUCGAGUGGCGAACGGGUGAGUAACACGUGAGUAACCUGCCCUUGACUUUGGGAUAACUUCAGGAAACUGGGGCUAAUACCGGAUAGGAGCUCCUGCUGCAUGGUGGGGGUUGGAAAGUUUCGGCGGUUGGGGAUGGACUCGCGGCUUAUCAGCUUGUUGGUGGGGUAGUGGCUUACCAAGGCUUUGACGGGUAGCCGGCCUGAGAGGGUGACCGGCCACAUUGGGACUGAGAUACGGCCCAGACUCCUACGGGAGGCAGCAGUGGGGAAUAUUGAACAAUGGGCGGAAGCCUGAUGCAGCACCGCCGCGUGCGGGAUGAGGGCCUUCGGGUUGUAACCCGUUUUCGCCUGUGACGAAGCGUGAGUGACGGUAAUGGGUAAAGAAGCACCGGCUAGCUGCGUG
rnacentral:rRNA from 1 species